rnacentral:rRNA from 1 species
GGGUUGUGAGGUUAAGCGACUAAGCGUACACGGUGGAUGCCCUGGCAGUCAGAGGCGAUGAAGGACGUGCUAAUCUGCGAUAAGCGUCGGUAAGGUGAUAUGAACCGUUAUAACCGGCGAUUUCCGAAUGGGGAAACCCAGUGUGAUUCGUCACACUAUCAUUAACUGAAUCCAUAGGUUAAUGAGGCGAACCGGGGGAACUGAAACAUCUAAGUACCCCGAGGAAAAGAAAUCAACCGAGAUUCCCCCAGUAGCGGCGAGCGAACGGGGAGCAGCCCAGAGCCUGAAUCAGUGUGUGUGUUAGUGGAAGCGUCUGGAAAGGCGCGCGAUACAGGGUGACAGCCCCGUACACAAAAAUGCACAUAUUGUGAGCUCGAUGAGUAGGGCGGGACACGUGGUAUCCUGUCUGAAUAUGGGGGGACCAUCCUCCAAGGCUAAAUACUCCUGACUGACCGAUAGUGAACCAGUACCGUGAGGGAAAGGCGAAAAGAACCCCGGCGAGGGGAGUGAAAAAGAACCUGAAACCGUGUACGUACAAGCAGUGGGAGCACGCUUAGGCGUGUGACUGCGUACCUUUUGUAUAAUGGGUCAGCGACUUAUAUUCUGUAGCAAGGUUAACCGAAUAGGGGAGCCGAAGGGAAACCGAGUCUUAACUGGGCGUUAAGUUGCAGGGUAUAGACCCGAAACCCGGUGAUCUAGCCAUGGGCAGGUUGAAGGUUGGGUAACACUAACUGGAGGACCGAACCGACUAAUGUUGAAAAAUUAGCGGAUGACUUGUGGCUGGGGGUGAAAGGCCAAUCAAACCGGGAGAUAGCUGGUUCUCCCCGAAAGCUAUUUAGGUAGCGCCUCGUGAAUUCAUCUCCGGGGGUAGAGCACUGUUUCGGCAAGGGGGUCAUCCCGACUUACCAACCCGAUGCAAACUGCGAAUACCGGAGAAUGUUAUCACGGGAGACACACGGCGGGUGCUAACGUCCGUCGUGAAGAGGGAAACAACCCAGACCGCCAGCUAAGGUCCCAAAGUCAUGGUUAAGUGGGAAACGAUGUGGGAAGGCCCAGACAGCCAGGAUGUUGGCUUAGAAGCAGCCAUCAUUUAAAGAAAGCGUAAUAGCUCACUGGUCGAGUCGGCCUGCGCGGAAGAUGUAACGGGGCUAAACCAUGCACCGAAGCUGCGGCAGCGACGCUUAUGCGUUGUUGGGUAGGGGAGCGUUCUGUAAGCCUGUGAAGGUGUGCUGUGAGGCAUGCUGGAGGUAUCAGAAGUGCGAAUGCUGACAUAAGUAACGAUAAAGCGGGUGAAAAGCCCGCUCGCCGGAAGACCAAGGGUUCCUGUCCAACGUUAAUCGGGGCAGGGUGAGUCGACCCCUAAGGCGAGGCCGAAAGGCGUAGUCGAUGGGAAACAGGUUAAUAUUCCUGUACUUGGUGUUACUGCGAAGGGGGGACGGAGAAGGCUAUGUUGGCCGGGCGACGGUUGUCCCGGUUUAAGCGUGUAGGCUGGUUUUCCAGGCAAAUCCGGAAAAUCAAGGCUGAGGCGUGAUGACGAGGCACUACGGUGCUGAAGCAACAAAUGCCCUGCUUCCAGGAAAAGCCUCUAAGCAUCAGGUAACAUCAAAUCGUACCCCAAACCGACACAGGUGGUCAGGUAGAGAAUACCAAGGCGCUUGAGAGAACUCGGGUGAAGGAACUAGGCAAAAUGGUGCCGUAACUUCGGGAGAAGGCACGCUGAUAUGUAGGUGAAGCGACUUGCUCGUGGAGCUGAAAUCAGUCGAAGAUACCAGCUGGCUGCAACUGUUUAUUAAAAACACAGCACUGUGCAAACACGAAAGUGGACGUAUACGGUGUGACGCCUGCCCGGUGCCGGAAGGUUAAUUGAUGGGGUCAGCGCAAGCGAAGCUCUUGAUCGAAGCCCCGGUAAACGGCGGCCGUAACUAUAACGGUCCUAAGGUAGCGAAAUUCCUUGUCGGGUAAGUUCCGACCUGCACGAAUGGCGUAAUGAUGGCCAGGCUGUCUCCACCCGAGACUCAGUGAAAUUGAACUCGCUGUGAAGAUGCAGUGUACCCGCGGCAAGACGGAAAGACCCCGUGAACCUUUACUAUAGCUUGACACUGAACAUUGAGCCUUGAUGUGUAGGAUAGGUGGGAGGCUUUGAAGUGUGGACGCCAGUCUGCAUGGAGCCGACCUUGAAAUACCACCCUUUAAUGUUUGAUGUUCUAACGUUGACCCGUAAUCCGGGUUGCGGACAGUGUCUGGUGGGUAGUUUGACUGGGGCGGUCUCCUCCUAAAGAGUAACGGAGGAGCACGAAGGUUGGCUAAUCCUGGUCGGACAUCAGGAGGUUAGUGCAAUGGCAUAAGCCAGCUUGACUGCGAGCGUGACGGCGCGAGCAGGUGCGAAAGCAGGUCAUAGUGAUCCGGUGGUUCUGAAUGGAAGGGCCAUCGCUCAACGGAUAAAAGGUACUCCGGGGAUAACAGGCUGAUACCGCCCAAGAGUUCAUAUCGACGGCGGUGUUUGGCACCUCGAUGUCGGCUCAUCACAUCCUGGGGCUGAAGUAGGUCCCAAGGGUAUGGCUGUUCGCCAUUUAAAGUGGUACGCGAGCUGGGUUUAGAACGUCGUGAGACAGUUCGGUCCCUAUCUGCCGUGGGCGCUGGAGAACUGAGGGGGGCUGCUCCUAGUACGAGAGGACCGGAGUGGACGCAUCACUGGUGUUCGGGUUGUCAUGCCAAUGGCACUGCCCGGUAGCUAAAUGCGGAAGAGAUAAGUGCUGAAAGCAUCUAAGCACGAAACUUGCCCCGAGAUGAGUUCUCCCUGACUCCUUGAGAGUCCUGAAGGAACGUUGAAGACGACGACGUUGAUAGGCCGGGUGUGUAAGCGCA